rnacentral:misc_RNA from 1 species
CUGCGGCUGGAUCCCCUCCUUUCUAAGGAGCCAGACGUUCGCCAGAACGUCGGCACCUCACCGCGAUCAGUUGGACCCUCGCAACCUCCUCCCUAGUUUUGAGAGACUGGCGAACGUUGGGCCUAUAGCUCGGUUGGCUAGAGCGUACCCCUGAUAAGGGUAAGGUCGGUAGUUCGACUCUACCUAGGCCCACCUGAAUCUGGGACCGCGAGCCACGGGGCUGUAGCUCAGAUGGGAGAGCGCCGCCCUUGCAAGGCGGAGGCCGUCGGUUCGAUUCCGAUCAGCUCCACUCCCCCCAGAUCUGCCGGAUGCGCGGUGUGCGUCAUGAGUGAUGCGUACCGCGGAUCCAGUCAGUUCAUGGGUUCGUCAUUCGAUCUUUGACAAUUGCAUACGGGUAAAAGAAAUCCGGAUCGAGAGCGCAAUUGGUAGUUCGGCGAAUUUGUUGGUCAAGCUACUAAGGGCGCACGGUGGAUGCCUUGGCGCAAGCAGGCGAUGAAGGACGUGGCUAGCUGCGAUAAGCUUCGGGGAGCCGCUAAGCGGGCUUUGAGCCGAAGAUUUCCGAAUGGGGAAACCCGG